GGAGCGGUAGUUCAGUUGGUUAGAAUACCGGCCUGUCACGCCGGGGGUCGCGUGUUCGAGUCCCGUCCACUCCGCCA
rnacentral:tRNA from 1 species